AAUGAACGCUGGCGGCAGGCCUAACACAUGCAAGUCGAACGGAUCCUUCGGGAUUAGUGGCGGACGGGUGAGUAACGCGUGGGAACAUACCCUUUGGUACGGAAUAGCCUCGGGAAACUGGGAGUAAUACCGUAUGUGGUCGAGAGACGAAAGAUUUAUCGCCAAAGGAUUGGCCCGCGUUGGAUUAGGUAGUUGGUGGGGUAAUGGCCUACCAAGCCGACGAUCCAUAGCUGGUUUGAGAGGAUGAUCAGCCACACUGGGUCUGAGGCACGGCCCAGACUCCUACGGGAGGCAGCAGUGGGGAAUCUUAGACAAUGGGGGAAACCCUGAUCUAGCCAUGCCGCGUGAUCGAUGAAGGCCUUAGGGUUGUAAAGAUCUUUCAGGUGGGAAGAUAAUGACUGUACCACCAGAAGAAGCCCCGGCUAACUCCUUGCCAGCCGCCGCAGUAA
rnacentral:rRNA from 1 species